rnacentral:rRNA from 1 species
AGUUCGGAUCGCAGGCUGNAACCCGCCUGCGUGAAGUCGGAAUCGCUAGUAAUCGCGGAUCAGCAUGCCGCGGUGAAUACGUUCCCGGGCCUUGUACACACCGCCCGUCACACCAUGAGAGUCGGGAACACCCGAAGCCCGUAGCCUAACUUUAACGAGAGGGCGCGGUCGAAGGUGGGUUCGAUAAUUGGGGUGAAGUCGUAACAAGGUAAC